GGGAAUAUUGUACAAUGGGCGAUAGCCUGACGCAGCGACGCCGCGUGAGUGAAGAAGUAUUUCGGUAUGUAAAGCUCUAUCAGCAGGGAAGAAAAUGACCGUACCUGACUAAGAACCCCCGGCUAACUACGUGCCAGCAGCCGCGGUAAUACGUAGGGGGCAAGCGUUCUCCGGAUUUACUGGGUGUAAAGGGAGCGUAGACGGCGAAGCAAGUCUGAAGUGAAAACCCAGGGCUCAACCCUGGGACUGCUUUGGAAACUGUUUUGCUAGAGUGGCGGAGAGGUAAGUGGAAUUCCUAGUGUAGCGGUGAAAUGCGUAGAUAUUAGGAGGAACACCAGUGGCGAAGGCGGCUUACUGGACGAUAACUGACGUUGAGGCUCGAAAGCGUGGGGAGCAAACA
rnacentral:rRNA from 1 species